UCGAGCGGUAGGCCCUUUCGGGGGUACACGAGCGGCGAACGGGUGAGUAACACGUGGGCGACCUGCCCUCAGCUCUGGGAUAAGCCUGGGAAACUGGGUCUAAUACCGGAUACGACCACAUGUCGCAUGGUGUGUGGUGGAAAGUUUUUUCGGCUGAGGAUGGGCCCGCGGCCUAUCAGCUUGUUGGUGGGGUGAUGGCCUACCAAGGCAACGACGGGUAGCCGGCCUGAGAGGGCGACCGGCCACACUGGGACUGAGACACGGCCCAGACUCCUACGGGAGGCAGCAGUGGGGAAUAUUGCGCAAUGGGCGAAAGCCUGACGCAGCGACGCCGCGUGGGGGAUGACGGCCUUCGGGUUGUAAACCUCUUUCGACCUUGACGAAGGCCUUCGGGUUGACGGUAGGGGUAGAAGAAGCACCGGCCAACUACGUGCCAGCAGCCGCGGUAAUACGUAGGGUGCGAGCGUUGUCCGGAAUUAUUGGGCGUAAAGAGCUCGUAGGCGGUGUGUCACGUCGAUCGUGAAAACUUGGGGCUUAACCCUGAGCUUGCGGUCGAUACGGGCAUCACUGGAGUUCGGCAGGGGAGACUGGAAUUCCUGGUGUAGCGGUGAAAUGCGCAGAUAUCAGGAGGAACACCGGUGGCGAAGGCGGGUCUCUGGGCCGAUACU
rnacentral:rRNA from 1 species